UAUUAUUGUACUGUUUAUAUACAACGUUUGACCAUUCAUCUUAUUUUAAAAAAAUAUUAUGACUAGUAUUUUUGUUUUUAUUAAAUGAUAAAACAUAAAUAGUACUAUUUUUUUUAUUUUUUUAUAAAUUUUUCAAAUAAGACGGACUAUCAAACGUUGGACACGGAAAUCCAUAACUGCAUUGAAA
rnacentral:pre_miRNA from 1 species